CAGCAGCCACGGGAAUACGAAGGGGGCUAGCGUUGUUCGGAAUUACUGGGCGUAAAGCGCACGUAGGCGGAUACUUAAGUCAGGGGUGAAAUCCCGGGGCUCAACCCCGGAACUGCCUUUGAUACUGGGUAUCUCGAGUCCGGAAGAGGUGAGUGGAAUUCCGAGUGUAGAGGUGAAAUUCGUAGAUAUUCGCAGGAACACCAGUGGCGAAGGCGGCUAACUGGUCCAUAACUGACGCUGAGGUGCGAAAGCGUGGGGAGCAAACAGGAUUAGAUACCCCUGUAGUCCAUGUCUCUUAUAC
rnacentral:rRNA from 1 species